rnacentral:rRNA from 1 species
UACGUAGGGGGCGAGCGUUGUCCGGAAUUAUUGGGCGUAAAGAGCGUGUAGGCGGCCCGGUAAGUCCGCUGUGAAAGUCCAGGGCUCAACCCUGGGAUGCCGGUGGAUACUGUCGGGCUCGAGUCCGGAAGAGGAGUGUGGAAUUCCUGGUGUAGCGGUGAAAUGCGCAGAUAUCAGGAGGAACACCAAUGGCGAAGGCAGCACUCUGGGACGUGACUGACGCUGAGACGCGAAAGCGUGGGGAGCAAACAGG